UGGCUAUCUGGUCGAUCCCCAAACCGCCGAGAUCAUCCAGUCGAUGUUGAAAUCCACCGCUUCGAUCCGUUCGAUUGCGUCGGUGGUGAAUGUCGAGGCGAACUCGUUCGAUGUACUUAUCGACCACACCGACGUGGGCGCGGGCUGGGCCGAUGAGAACGCCGCCGCCUCCGAGACGGCAACCCCUUCGAUCGACCGUAUCUCGAUCCCGCUGCACGAACUGAGUGCGCUGCCCAAAGCCUCGCAGCGUCUGCUGGAUGACAGCGCCUUUGACGUUGAAGGCUGGCUGGCGGGUCGCAUUGCAGACAAGUUCGCCCGUGCCGAGGCUUCGGCCUUUAUCAAUGGCGAUGGUGCGGACAAGCCCAAGGGUAUCAUGAACCAUACCGCAGUCGAUAACGACGUUUGGGACUGGGGCAAUCUGGGCUAUGUGCCCACCGGUAUUGACGGUGGCGUCACCGCGGACUCGAUUGUGGACGUGGUCUAUGCUCUGGGUUCGCAGUAUCGCGUGAACGGCACGUUCGUGAUGAAUUCGAAAACCGCAGGUCUGAUCCGCAAGCUGAAGGACAGCGAUGGCCGCUUCCUGUGGUCGGACGGUUUGGCCGCGGGUGAGCCUGCGCGUCUGAUGGGGUAUCCGGUGCUGAUCGCCGAGGACAUGCCGGAUGCGGGCACCGACAGUUUCUCGAUUGCUUUUGGCGAUUUCCAGGCAGGGUACACCAUUGCCGAGCGUCCCGAUCUGCGCGUCCUGCGCGACCCGUUCAGCGCAAAACCCCACGUGCUGUUCUA
rnacentral:rRNA from 1 species